GAUGAACGCGGGCGGCGUGCCUAAUACAUGCGAGUCGAGCGAACAGACGAGGAGCUUGCUCCUCUGACGUUAGCGGCGGACGGGUGAGUAACACGUGGAUAACCUACCUAUAAGACUGGGAAACUUCGGGAAACCCGACCCAAUACCGGGCAAUAUAUUGAACCUCAUGGAUCAAUUGUGAAAUACCGCUUUUCUGUCCCUUAUCAAAGCAUCCGUUCCGCAUUAGCUAAUUGGUAAGGUAACGGCUUACCAACGCAACGAUUCGUAGCCGAACUGAGAGGGUCAUAGCCCUGCCUGGACCUUAGCCACGGUCCAGACUCCUACGGGAGGCAACAGUAGGGAAUCUUCCGCAAUGGGCGAAAGCCUGACGGAGCAACACCGCGUGAGUGAUGAAGGUCUACGGAUCGUAAAACUCUGUUAUUAGCGAAGAACAAAUUUGUAAGUAACUAUGCACGUCUUGACGGUACCUAGUCAGAAAGCCACGGCUAACUACGUG
rnacentral:rRNA from 1 species